UCUCCAUGAUGCGUGUUUAUUUACAAGUAGUAAAUCUGCAAAAUAGGAAAUAACAGAAUAUUUACACAGUGAACGUUAACCUGCACACUUUCUUGAUUCCUGUGCAGAUUACAUUUGGAAAAAUAACAACCACUGAGAAUUUGCCACAGUCGGGGAAAAAAGAAAGAAGGAAAAUACAUUGUCGGGAUCUUUUCAAAUCAGGGCAUUAAUAAUCUGUGUGGAGGGAUUACUGGAUGGGAUUAUGGGACAGAUUCCUAGACACGAACUAAGCCUAUGCCUGGACAAAAAAAAAAAGAUUGUAGAAUCUCAAUUGAAUGAGCUUGCUCAUACAGGAAUAGUCUUAAUCAGGGAACGGGAAACUGGCCUAAAUAGUUUUUUUUUGUGUAGAUGGUUUUAAUGGGAAGAUUAAUGUCCAACUAAUGUGAAAUUCAGAGAGAUGGUCAUAACAGCCCAUGAAAUCAUUGAUAGACACAAUGCUGUUAUAUGACACAAGAUGGUCCAUCAACUGCUUUCUUAUUCGUGCGUCGUAGUUUGGGCAAGCCGUGAAACAUUUUGACAGGCACAAUGUUGGUUGCGUGACCGCAUUUUGUUGGUCCUAUGACCGCAUUUUGUUUGUCAUAUGACAUGUCAGGCAGUGUCAUUCAUCAUUGUCUCAUCAAAUAGCCAUGUUGCUACUUAAUUAAUGUACCACUUAAAUGACACCAGUCAAUCACCAUACAGACAAACAGGGACAAAUGAUGAGAUAGGUAGGGAAGUAGAAGAAGCAUAACUAUGAAUUGUCAUGUGGGAGCCUUCUGGACUUGCUAAACAGUUUGUUUGAAAACUCAAGCAGUCAUGCAAAUGCUAACGAAGCUAAAAAUCUUCCUCCACUCAAGGGCGUGACAUUGAAACAAUGUAAAGAAUGUCACCAAAGAACAGAGGCAAUGUCCUGAGAAAUUGAGAAUUAGCUGUGUCAACAUAAACAGUAAUGGGAGAAACACACUUGAAAGAGUUACGGACAGUGUGCAAUGUACUUCCCCAUGGUCACAACGUUGUUAAUUCCUAAGCCUUUUUCAUUAACAAAUCACUGAGCUCCGGAGUGUUGAAGACCAGUAUCCAUACAUUUCAUAUACUGGUCAUCAAGAAGCACCAACAAAUACAAACACAGCAAAAAAGGUGAUGUGUACUCAUGGAAAUGUGCAUUUAUUUUACCCUGUAAAGCAGGCUAAGCAUGUUUGGGGAAUAUUUUAGCAGUUUAUACAGUUGUUAAAAAUAGAUGAUUAUGUCAAAACUCCUUCGAAAUGCAAUGCUUUUCACCAACAAGUCACUCAUCAGGCACACAGAUGCUUUAAAAUCAACUGUUCUGUCCUCAGAACCUAACUUUGGAAAGUGGUUUAACCCGAGCACAUUAGAAAUGAGAAAUGUCCCAGUGAAAACGCAUCCCAUUUCCUGUGAGGUUGUCCUAAUGUGGACUCUGUCCUGGUUCCUGGAUGGGCUGUUUUUGGCUCUUAAAGCAUCACCUGGUUUUGUAAACUACUUUGGGUGCCAAAUGUUCAGGUACUUACACAGAUCCGCCCGUAAAGAUGCUGCCCUGAGAGUCAAAACGAAGCCUGGCCCCUGCAUGUUAACGGCCUGAUAUGUAGACAGGGGCACUACAGGAACACAGAACAGUUGUGUUUCUCGAUGUCUGUGUCCAAAGAUGUGACACUAUUUCAUUAUGCACCCGUUCCGACCAGGGCCGAGGCGUACUUUAGAGGUAUUAGAGGGGGCGAUUCCACGUGGACCAAUUAAGUAGUAGAUUCAGGGGUGUUUCUCCUUCAUUUCUGUACAGUGGAGUGAUGGAACCUGGCGUUCAGUGAAUUGCAACAGCAUUUCUGAUCAGAGUAACAUGGUAGCCCUGAUGGUUAUAAAAUAAUAAACGGAUUUAAAGCAGCAAGUCACUUAUUUCAUCGGAAAAGAAAAAAAAUGAUGUUUAUCUGACGCAAUGUUUUCCACUGAUCAUGGAGACCAGAAAAUAAACCUUUAGAUCGGUCAAGCACUUCAACUUCAGAUAAACCAAAGAAGUCUUCAUCUUAGACGUACCGUAUAAUGCACAUUUACAUUUUCAAAAAGAUAUACAAG
ensembl:lncRNA